rnacentral:rRNA from 1 species
UGGGGAAUCUUGCACAAUGGGGGAAACCCUGAUGCAGCGACGCCGCGUGAACGAUGAAGCCCUUCGGGGUGUAAAGUUCUUUCGACAGGAACGAUAAUGGCGGUACCUGGAGAAGAAGCUGCGGCUAACUACGUGCCAGCAGCCGCGGUAAUACGUAGGCAGCGAGCGUUGUUCGGAGUUACUGGGCGUAAAGAGUGCGUAGGCGGCGAGCCAAGUUUGGUGUGAAAUCUCCCGGCUUAACCGGGAGGGUGCGCCGAAAACUGGUUGGCUGGAGUAUGGGAGAGGAAAGCGGAAUUCCUGGUGUAGCGGUGAAAUGCGUAGAUAUCAGGAGGAACACCUGCGGUGUAGACAGCUUUCUGGACCAAAACUGACGCUGAGGCACGAAAGCGUGGGUAGCAAAC